UGGGGAAUUUUGGACAAUGGGGGCAACCCUGAUCCAGCCAUGCCGCGUGAGUGAAGAAGGCCUUCGGGUUGUAAAGCUCUUUCAGACGGAAAGAAACGGUCACGGCCAAUACCCGUGACUAAUGACGGUACCGUAAGAAGAAGCACCGGCUAACUACGUGCCAGCAGCCGCGGUAAUACGUAGGGUGCGAGCGUUAAUCGGAAUUACUGGGCGUAAAGCGUGCGCAGGCGGUUUCGUAAGACAGAUGUGAAAUCCCCGGGCUUAACCUGGGAACUGCAUUUGUGACUGCGAGACUAGAGUGUAGCAGAGGGGGGUAGAAUUCCACGUGUAGCAGUGAAAUGCGUAGAGAUGUGGAGGAAUACCGAUGGCGAAGGCAGCCCCCUGGGCUAACACUGACGCU
rnacentral:rRNA from 1 species